rnacentral:rRNA from 1 species
UACGUAGGGGGGCUAGCGUUGUCCGGAAUCAUUGGGCGUAAAGCGCGUGUAGGCGGUCCGGUAAGUCCGCUGUGAAAGUCGGGGGCUCAACCCUCGGAUGCCGGUGGAUACUGUCGGGCUUGAGUACGGAAGAGGCGAGUGGAAUUCCUGGUGGUAGCGGUGAAAUGCGCAGAUAUCAGGAGGAACACCAAUUGCGAAGGCAGCUCGCUGGGACGUUACUGACGCUGAGACGCGAAAGCGUGGGGAGCGAACAGG